UAGAGCUUAUUUUCAACCGUAAAUCAUUUUCACCAGUUUCUGUUCACGAAUACCGAGAGAAACCGAGCUGCGUUCUUCGUGUUCUUCGUAAUCAAACAAGGUUUUGAAGGUGUUAUUGGAAUCCGAUGGAGGCGUAUGAAUAGUCAAAACGAAGCUAUCGACGCGUAGAAUCUAGUACAAUCAUCCGUUUAUGUGCAGAUUGGUCAGGACUUAGACGAGACGUGUACGCUCGAAGUCAUCAGGAAGUCGAAAUGGUAUUGCAAAGCGAAUAAGGGACGAAUCGAGUAAGCGAAGCGAUGUGGCGAAUAGAGUAUAGCUAGAGAUGGUCUAGAAAUUAUGAUAUGGAUAGAUUGUGAAAGUGGAAAGAUGAGGUUGAGCUAUGAAACUGGAGUCAGAUUUAAGAAAGGCUUAAAGAUGAGAUGAUUGAUUGCGAUUGUGAGUAAGGCUAAUGCUAGGCGAGGAGACAGAGUUGAGGAUCCAGUGAUCGAGGAGUGAUCAGGAAAGUUGAUGAGGUUGGUGCAAGCUGGAAUAGUUGACAGUGAUUCUUCUUAUCGAAGAUGAUCUGAGUUGGUAAGAGAUGUUGUGUAAUAAUAGUGGUAGAUUCUAAUUUCAAUACUGUAACCUGGAUGCGAUCCUGUUGCUUUUAGGGGGUUUAAAUGUUCUCUUUCGAAUCAUUUAUUAAAGUUUAAAUGUUCUCUUGAAAUUCUCCUAUUAUGGCUUUCAAGUUUGAAAUUCAGGUUUUGAAAUCAUUUGAUUUAUGUUCUCAUUCAAAUAUUUUAUUAAAUGUUUUCAGGUUUCAAAUUCUUUUGAUCUUCAUUAUCUUUUAAAAAGAAAAAAAAAUAAAAUACAGGUUUUCAAAAGUGUUUAAAAAUGGGUUUUAUAUGGUGACGUCAGAAUCCAGACCCCCGGAUUCUCGGGCUGUCACAGUUGGUAUCAGAGCAACAGGUUAUCAGUUAUUGAAUUAGAAUAUAGAUUAUAGUUUUAAGUUCUAUUGAUGAGGAAUGUUGUGUGACCUCAUAUAGAGGUAUGACCAGACUAUCUAAGAAUAGUCUAAGGAUGAGAGAGAAGAAUAGAGUCUAGUUAGACGAUUAAGUUGAGUGUAUAGGUUUAGAGAGAUUUUGAUUCCUAAGUUUAGACAUUUCAUUUCUAGCGAUCGAGUAACCGAGAAUGGUACUAUUGUGAGAAAGGUCAAGAUUAGACCUAGAUAGAAGAGUUUGAUAAUGAAUGAUUGAGUUGAAAAUGGUGAAAAUGCAGUGUUCAGAUUAUUCUGACUAUACUGCAUAGUUGAAAAUGGUCUACUGUAUUGAUUUGAGAAUGAUAAAGAUGCAUGGUUCAUAGUAUGUUGACCAUGUUGGAUAUUUGGAAAAGUAUAUUGUUUUGUGAGAUAUGAAGAGUUAGUGUAAGAUAUGAGUUGUACUGAAUCAGAAGGAGAGAUUUAUAGAUAGAGGUGGAUAGGUGAGAAGUGAAUGAUAGAGAGUAUGUGGAGUUGAGUCCAGCUAUUAGAGGUAAUGUCUGCGAGUAAGUUAGAACGUUAGUCCUCGACGACGACGCUUCAAGCUAAUCGGGACUUCAAACGAUAUCAAGGUGGGCCCAUAACCCACAGGUUGACGAUCCAAACGAUUGAAGAUAUGUUACAUGUCAUGCUAUGGACUUCAAAGGCAAUUGGGAUGAAAUAAUGUAAACUACUUGGGCCAGACUUAUUACGAACAAUGACAUCUUACGACGCUAUUACGAUUGAACGUCGAUCAAUUAUCGAGAAGGCUGAAAAGGAGAUAUACAACGAACGAUGAUUUUUGAAGUAGAGCAGUAAUUUGAGAAGACCUUGGCAGUACCUCUCUUCAACUAAAGAUUCUUUUGAUUAUAUGUUUUUCAUCAGUGAGUUAUUAUGAUAUCAUUUUGAUAAACGAGAUUUUCAAUUUCUCAAAUUCUAAGGUGACAUUGAUAUUGAUUAUUGGUAUGAGUUGGAAAGCAAAGAUGUGUGAUAAAGGUUUGUUGUGAAGAGAUAGUGAUGUUCCUUGAUAUUGUUUGACAUUUCUUGACAUUCCUUGAUACCCUUUCAUCUUCCUUGAUAUCCUUUGAUGUUCUUUGAUAUCUCUGAUAUUCCUUGAUAUUCUUUGAUAUUCCUUAACAUUUCUUCAAUUUGAUUGGGAUGAACAACCCUAUUUAUAGGGGACACAAGGUAUACCUGUCUGUGUGAUAGGAGUUGGAUGGGACGCCAUCACUUGUGUGUGUUGUGAUUACAAGAAGGUUAACAACCUUUAGUAGUGUCUAAUAUGGACACGCAACAUUAAGUUCAUUUGAUCGUAUGGAUCUCCCAGUCAUUCUUGUAUUCCAAUGUGACCUAUUUUGAAAAUAUCUUGUUCCUCCGAAAUUUCCAAAAGAUUGAUUCUUGGGAAAUGAAUUCUGCAGUUGCGAAAGCCUGAUUUUUGUUAUUUCUUUAAAGUUAAAGGUAUGCCAAGGCCGAUCCAAAAUGAAUGAUGAUACGUUAUUACGAAGUGUAUAGUGGAAUCUUCAAAGUGAUACGUUUGAGUUCUCUUUGCGGAUUCCGAGGGCGGAAUCCUUAUAAGGGGGGUAGAAUGUAAUAUCCCAUAUUAUUAAAUUUAGAUUUGAUUAUUAUAAAUCUAUUUGUCUAAAUAUUGUUGUUGGCUUUAAUUGAAAAGUGAAUUGACUAUGUGAAUAGUGCUAUGUGAUGAUACUUGUUCUAUGGAUUAAUAUGGAUUAUACUGAUUAUGCGUCCUCUUCCUUUCUCUGAUUCCGAGGACGGAAUCCCUGUAAGGAGGGUAGAUUGUAAUAACCCGGAUUUUAAAAAUAUUUUUAUUAAUAUUAUAAAUGAUUUUCUUAAAAAGAAGGAAUAAGAUUUAAUAUUUUAUUCCAGUUUAAGGAGUUUUCAAAAUUUUAUAUUAAACCCUGGGUUAUGGUGUUAUUGAUAAAUAAUUGUAUUUUUAAAACUGAUUUUCAUAUAUUGUUUCGAAAAUUCUAGAUGAUUAUUAUGUGAAUAUAUGUGUGAUGUGAGUAAGUGGUAUUGGUGGAUUUGUUGGUUAAUUAAUGAUGAUUAGUUAUGAGUAUUAUAUGAUUAAUAUACGAAUUUUUGUGAAUUUUAUAUUAUCUGAUUUAUUGGGUUGACUGCUCAUAUGUGUUCGUAUUUGAGAGAUUUCAAUUUCUAUAUGCUCAGAAUGAAAUAUAGUUUAUUUGGAAAUUUUCAUAUCGAUUUAUGGAAUGUUAGAUGAUUUUAUAAUCGAUUUACGGAUUUAAUUGUGUAUAUUUAUAUUUAUUUAUUAAUUAUUUGACUUCCGUAAAACCGUCCACUCGUAACGAGGUAGCAAAUUUUCUUCCCGGAAGUUUCAACAAAACUCACCUUUAGCCUAAUUUGCAUAUUCCGGACACUUUUCGUGUUUUGACUUUUUCGAUCCGGAGUACGGUUUUCCCCGUAGUCGGUCCGGCGGAGUUUUUCGGGUAUUUUAAUUGUUGAUAAUUAUCUGGUUGUCUCGAUAAACGUGAAACUAGAUAUUUUGAUUCAUCCUUAUCUUGUAAUAAUUGCAGUGGGACCCGCAUACUAAUGACUGAUUAAAAAGCCCCGUUUUGAUGAUUAUCUUAAAAACCAGUACCGAUUGGACCCCGCUUUAUUAUAUAAAGCUAGUAAAUAUCGUAUUUUCAUGUCAUAAACGAUCCAAAUGAGUACCAAUUAUUUGUAAAUAUAAAUAGACCUUUCUAGAGCUUAUUUUCAACCGUAAAUCAUUUUCACCAGUUUCUGUUCACGAAUACCGAGAGAAACCGAGCUGCGUUCUUCGUGUUCUUCGUAAUCAAACAAGGUUUUGAAGGUGUUAUUGGAAUCCGAUGGAGGCGUAUGAAUAGUCAAAACGAAGCUAUCGACGCGUAGAAUCUAGUACAAUCAUCCGUUUAUGUGCAGAUUCGUCAGGACUUAGACGAGACGUGUACGCUCGAAGUCAUCAGGAAGUCGAAAUGGUAUUGCAAAGCGAAUAAGGGACGAAUCGAGUAAGCGAAGCGAUGUGGCGAAUAGAGUAUAGCUAGAGAUGGUCUAGAAAUUAUGAUAUGGAUAGAUUGUGAAAGUGGAAAGAUGAGGUUGAGCUAUGAAACUGGAGUCAGAUUUAAGAAAGGCUUAAAGAUGAGAUGAUUGAUUGCGAUUGUGAGUAAGGCUAAUGCUAGGCGAGGAGACAGAGUUGAGGAUCCAGUGAUCGAGGAGUGAUCAGGAAAGUUGAUGAGGUUGGUGCAAGCUGGAAUAGUUGACAGUGAUUCUUCUUAUCGAAGAUGAUCUGAGUUGGUAAGAGAUGUUGUGUAAUAAUAGUGGUAGAUUCUAAUUUCAAUACUGUAACCUGGAUGCGAUCCUGUUGCUUUUAGGGGGUUUAAAUGUUCUCUUUCGAAUCAUUUAUUAAAGUUUAAAUGUUCUCUUGAAA